ACUAUAGCUCAGUGGUAGAACAUCUGCUUUGCAUGCAGAAGAUAUCAAGUUCGAUUCCAGGCAUCUAUG